UCAACUUGGGAACUGCAUCCUGAACUUGGUCAACUAGAGUACAGCAGAGGAGAGUGGAAUUUCUCGUGUAGCGGUGAAAUGCGUUAGAUAUGAGAAGGAACACCAGUGGCGAAGGCGACUGACUGGCUCGAUACUGACACUGAGGUACGAAAGCGUGGGGAGCAAACAGGAUUAGAUACCCUGGUAGUCCACGCCGUAAACGAUGUCUACUAGCCGUUGGAGGACUUGAUCCUUUAGUGGCGAAGCUAACGCGAUAAGUAGACCGCCUGGGGAGUACGGUCGCAAGAUUAAAACUCAAAUGAAUUGACGGGGGCCCGCACAAGCGGUGGAGCAUGUGGUUUAAUUCGACGCAACGCGAAGAACCUUACCUGGUCUUGACAUCCUGCGAACUUUCUAGAGAUAGAUUGGUGCCUUCGGGAACGCAGUGACAGGUGCUGCAUGGCU
rnacentral:rRNA from 1 species